CUACAGGGGGUCCAAGCGUUGUUCGGAAUCACUGGGCGUAAAGCGCGUGUAGGCGGCUGUAUAAGUCGAAUGCGAAAUCCCUCAGCUCAACUGAGGACGUGCAUUCGAAACUGUAUAGCUAGAGUAUCGGAGGGGGUGGUGGAAUUCCUAGUGUAGAGGUGAAAUUCGUAGAUAUUAGGAGGAACACCUGUGGCGAAGGCGACCACCUGGACGAUAACUGACGCUGAGACGCGAAAGCGUGGGUAGCAAACAGGAUUAGAUACCCUAGUAGUCC
rnacentral:rRNA from 1 species